rnacentral:lncRNA from 1 species
UGGCAGUGUUGAUGUGUGCCUGUGAGUUGUGAGCGAGGCAGAUUUCCUCGCGUGGCCGGCACGACCUUCACCUUUGCAGAAGGCAACCGGGACCCUCUAAACUAUUAAAGGUAGUAAAGUCGAUGGGCGAUUACCACCCAAAUACUUUGUCUCUUUUGGAAUCUCCUCUGCAUUUAAAGGAUUUGACAAGCCGACAUUUUAAACUGUUAGGAUUGUGGAGUAAAGGAAAAUAGGAUCGAAAAGCGAGGUUGAUUCCAGUUCAAAAGUUGCUGUGGUCCUGGAAAUGAGGAUUCUGGGCAAAACAAGAAAUUGGGUGAUUAUGCAUUCAAGAUCUAAAGAUGCUUUCCUUUCAUCAUCUAGAAUGAAUUUGUUCAUUUAUCCUGAUGAAAGGUUAAAGAAGAUAUUGCCAAGUGUGAACAAUAACCUUCGAUGGAAAUGAUAUCAUCAAUUCCUGAAAGUGCAGAACAAUCUAUUUUUAGGAAGGGAUGUGCUCCAUUGAGCUCCUGAUUUUGAGACCACUUUUAUUUAUUUAUUUUUAAACUUAAUUUAGUUUGAUAUUGAAGGGUCUUGUGGAAGAGAGAAGAUGGGUUUUACUGUCACCUAGGCUGGAGUGACAUCAUCAGAGUUC